GUCACUUUGCCGGAGUGGUUAACGGGAUCGCCUGCUAUUCCAGCUGCUAGCGGUUGUGCUUUGCACGCGAGUGUUCGAAUCGCUCAGGUGACG
rnacentral:tRNA from 1 species